GAACGCUGGCGGCGCGCUUAACACAUGCAAGUCGAGCGAUGAAAUCUUAACAGAACCCUUCGGGGCGAAGAUAAGACGGAUUAGCGGCGGACGGGUGAGUAACACGUGAGUAACCUGCCUUUUACACAGGGAUAGCCUCGGGAAACCGGGAUUAAAACCUGAUGAAACUAUCAAAUCACAUGAUUAAGAAAGUUAAAACUCCGGUGGUAAAAGAUGGACUCGCGUCCCAUUAGCUAGUUGGUGAAGGUAACGGCCCACCAAGGCAACGAUGGGUAGCCGGCCUGAGAGGGUGAACGGCCACAUUGGAACUGAGAAACGGUCCAAACUCCUACGGGAGGCAGCAGUGGGGAAUAUUGCACAAUGGGGGAAACCCUGAUGCAGCGACGCCGCGUGAGCGAAGAAGGCCUUCGGGUCGUAAAGCUCUUUUAUAUGGGAAGAUAAUGACGGUACCAUAAGAAAAAGCCCCGGCUAACUACGUGCCAGCCGCCGCGGUAA
rnacentral:rRNA from 2 species